rnacentral:rRNA from 1 species
GACAGAGGCCCCGAGCGUUAGGCGGAAUCACUGGGCUUAAAGCGUGUGUAGGCGGGCCCGUAAGUGUCUUGUGAAAUCCCACGGCUCAACCGUGGAACUGCUGGGCAUACUGCGGGUCUUGGGCCAACUAGGGGCAGCCGGAACAAGCGGUGGAGCGGUGAAAUGCGUAGAUAUCAGGAGGAACGUCGGCGGCGAAAGCGACUCUCUGGCCUGUAACUGACGCUGAGGCGCGAAAGCUAGGGGAGCAAACGGG